GGAACCUGCAGCUGCUGCAGCUGCUGCUGCAGCACCUGCAGCACCUGCUGCAGCUGCUACAGCACCUGCGGCAGCAGCUGCUGCUGCAGCAGUUGCGGCAGCUGCUGCUGCUGCAGCAGUUGCGGCAGCUGCUGCUGCUGCAGCAGUUGCGGCAGCUGCAGCUGCUACAGCACCUGCGGCAGCAGCUGCCGCUGCAGCAGUUGCGGCAGCUGCAGCUGCUGCAGCACCUGCGGCAGCAGCUGCUGCAGCUGAGCCUGUAGCUGCAGCAGUUGCUACU
rfam:Eimeria necatrix Houghton genomic scaffold, Enh_scaff1978